rnacentral:rRNA from 1 species
GGGUUGUGAGGUUAAGCGACUAAGCGUACACGGUGGAUGCCCUGGCAGUCAGAGGCGAUGAAGGGCGUGCUAAUCUGCGAUAAGCGCCGGUAAGGUGAUAUGAACCGUUAUAACCGGCGAUACCCGAAUGGGGAAACCCAGUGUGACUCGUCACACUAUCAUUAACUGAAUCCAUAGGUUAAUGAGGCGAACCGGGGGAACUGAAACAUCUAAGUACCCCGAGGAAAAGAAAUCAACCGAGAUUCCCCCAGUAGCGGCGAGCGAACGGGGAGGAGCCCAGAGCCUGAAUCAGCAUGUGUGUUAGUGGAAGCGUCUGGAAAGGCGCGCGAUACAGGGUGACAGCCCCGUACACAAAAGCGCAUGUGCUGUGAGCUCGAUGAGUAGGGCGGGACACGUGGUAUCCUGUCUGAAUAUGGGGGGACCAUCCUCCAAGGCUAAAUACUCCUGACUGACCGAUAGUGAACCAGUACCGUGAGGGAAAGGCGAAAAGAACCCCGGCGAGGGGAGUGAAAAAGAACCUGAAACCGUGUACGUACAAGCAGUGGGAGCCCCACCACUAAGCCAGUGGUGAACUCCACAUACGCAUCCUUUGCUGAGGAGACGGUUAACGGAGCGAAAGCGACGUUCAACCUCAAAACAAGCAGAGGGGGCUUAGUGGUGGGGUGACUGCGUACCUUUUGUAUAAUGGGUCAGCGACUUAUAUUCUGUAGCAAGGUUAACCGAAUAGGGGAGCCGGAGGGAAACCGAGUCUUAAUUGGGCGUUAAGUUGCAGGGUAUAGACCCGAAACCCGGUGAUCUAGCCAUGGGCAGGUUGAAGGUUGGGUAACACUAACUGGAGGACCGAACCGACUAAUGUUGAAAAAUUAGCGGAUGACCUGUGGCUGGGGGUGAAAGGCCAAUCAAACCGGGAGAUAGCUGGUUCUCCCCGAAAGCUAUUUAGGUAGCGCCUCGUGAAUUCAUCUCCGGGGGUAGAGCACUGUUUCGGCUAGGGGGCCAUCCCGGCUUACCAACCCGAUGCAAACUGCGAAUACCGGAGAAUGUUAUCACGGGAGACACACGGCGGGUGCUAACGUCCGUCGUGAAGAGGGAAACAACCCAGACCGCCAGCUAAGGUCCCAAAGUCAUGGUUAAGUGGGAAACGAUGUGGGAAGGCCCAGACAGCCAGGAUGUUGGCUUAGAAGCAGCCAUCAUUUAAAGAAAGCGUAAUAGCUCACUGGUCGAGUCGGCCUGCGCGGAAGAUGUAACGGGGCUAAACCAUGCACCGAAGCUGCGGCAGCGACGCUUAUGCGUUGUUGGGUAGGGGAGCGUUCUGUAAGCCGUUGAAGGUGGCCUGUGAGGGUUGCUGGAGGUAUCAGAAGUGCGAAUGCUGACAUAAGUAACGAUAAAGCGGGUGAAAAGCCCGCUCGCCGGAAGACCAAGGGUUCCUGUCCAACGUUAAUCGGGGCAGGGUGAGUCGACCCCUAAGGCGAGGCCGAAAGGCGUAGUCGAUGGGAAACGGGUUAAUAUUCCCGUACUUGGUGUUACUGCGAAGGGGGGACGGAGAAGGCUAUGUUGGCCGGGCGACGGUUGUCCCGGUUUAAGCGUGUAGGUGUGUGUUCCAGGUAAAUCCGGUUCACUUUAACACUGAGGCGUGACGACGAGGCACUACGGUGCUGAAGCAACAAAUGCCCUGCUUCCAGGAAAAGCCUCUAAGCAUCAGGUAACAUCAAAUCGUACCCCAAACCGACACAGGUGGUCAGGUAGAGAAUACCAAGGCGCUUGAGAGAACUCGGGUGAAGGAACUAGGCAAAAUGGUGCCGUAACUUCGGGAGAAGGCACGCUGACACGUAGGUGAAGUGAUUUACUCAUGGAGCUGAAGUCAGUCGAAGAUACCAGCUGGCUGCAACUGUUUAUUAAAAACACAGCACUGUGCAAACACGAAAGUGGACGUAUACGGUGUGACGCCUGCCCGGUGCCGGAAGGUUAAUUGAUGGGGUCAGCGCAAGCGAAGCUCCUGAUCGAAGCCCCGGUAAACGGCGGCCGUAACUAUAACGGUCCUAAGGUAGCGAAAUUCCUUGUCGGGUAAGUUCCGACCUGCACGAAUGGCGUAAUGAUGGCCAGGCUGUCUCCACCCGAGACUCAGUGAAAUUGAACUCGCUGUGAAGAUGCAGUGUACCCGCGGCAAGACGGAAAGACCCCGUGAACCUUUACUAUAGCUUGACACUGAACAUUGAGCCUUGAUGUGUAGGAUAGGUGGGAGGCUUUGAAGCGUGGACGCCAGUCUGCGUGGAGCCGACCUUGAAAUACCACCCUUUAAUGUUUGAUGUUCUAACGUGGACCCGUUACCCGGGUUGCGGACAGUGUCUGGUGGGUAGUUUGACUGGGGCGGUCUCCUCCUAAAGAGUAACGGAGGAGCACGAAGGUUGGCUAAUCCUGGUCGGACAUCAGGAGGUUAGUGCAAUGGCAUAAGCCAGCUUGACUGCGAGCGUGACGGCGCGAGCAGGUGCGAAAGCAGGUCAUAGUGAUCCGGUGGUUCUGAAUGGAAGGGCCAUCGCUCAACGGAUAAAAGGUACUCCGGGGAUAACAGGCUGAUACCGCCCAAGAGUUCAUAUCGACGGCGGUGUUUGGCACCUCGAUGUCGGCUCAUCACAUCCUGGGGCUGAAGUAGGUCCCAAGGGUAUGGCUGUUCGCCAUUUAAAGUGGUACGCGAGCUGGGUUUAGAACGUCGUGAGACAGUUCGGUCCCUAUCUGCCGUGGGCGCUGGAGAACUGAGGGGGGCUGCUCCUAGUACGAGAGGACCGGAGUGGACGCAUCACUGGUGUUCGGGUUGUCAUGCCAAUGGCACUGCCCGGUAGCUAAAUGCGGAAGAGAUAAGUGCUGAAAGCAUCUAAGCACGAAACUUGCCCCGAGAUGAGUUCUCCCUGAGACUUAGAGUCUCCUGAAGGAACGUUGAAGACGACGACGUUGAUAGGCCGGGUGUGUAAGCGCAGCGAUGCGUUGAGCUAACCGGUACUAAUGAACCGUGAGGCUUAACCUUACAACGCCGAAG